GAGGGUAAGCCUAAAGAAAAUAUAAAGUCCCUCUACAUAAGCUCCUGGAGGCAUAAACAUUAUUUAUAGCACUUCACUCUUAUUUAACUGAGGCAAGUAAGUGCUAUAAAUGCACAAAAUAAAGAGAUUAGAAAUGCGAUUUAACACAGUCAGGAAUGAAGGUUAUUCAUCAGAAACAGCUAUUCAUUUUUAUUUAUUUCUUUAUUUUCCUCCAUUUUUCAUUGGCAUAGUUGACUAACACCCUGUUUUGAUAUUGACAGUUCAGGGAGGAGCAAAUGCAAGCACUAAUGACUUGGAUGAGUUUCUGCUCUUUGAAUUUGCUAGAGAUUUUAUUAAAUAACACUGUAGCUCAGGGUGAGCUGAUUGUGUUUCACAGCCUAUUUCCCCAUACUCCCUAAAUGCUGAUUUACCUAGAAUGAAAUGCAUGUACACAUACUCUGGAGCAUGUGUUAAAGCUGUGCUAAACAUUUUCCAUGUAACUUCCAGCUGGUAACAUUUUGCCAGAAAGCCUGGUACUUAGAAAUGAUAAAUAAAUAAAACAAACAGAAACUUGUGCUGUAAUAAGGAGACAAUGGAACAGCUGCAGGGCAUGGAGUAAAUUCAGCUUGACUUGUUGUGGACACAGUGGCUGGAUUUUACCCAAGAGAUAUUAGCAACGUUCAGAUUCCUAAAGGGAGGACUGUGGAAAGGGAAGAAGGGAUCUCAUUGGGAGGUCUCUUAGCACAUUUGGAAUAAUAAACACAGAAAUGAUGAAAAAUAAUAUUUAAGCAGCAAAAUCAGCAUGCAGUGUCCUCCUGUAGGAUGUUGAAAAAAUACGAACUUGUCUUGAGAAGAAAAAAUAAUGAACAGCGCUUUGUUUUGUUUUAUUUUGUUUGGAGGGAGAAUGCAAAGAAGAUGGAAGGGGGGCUGGAGCCUGGGGAGGCAAACUGUGUGACAACAGCCAUCAAAUGAAGGAAAGAGAAACAGCGAAGGUAAAGAAAGAAAGAGCAAACAGGACACAAAGGAGCAUCAUUUCCCUAUCUCUGCCCGCCUUUCCCUCAGUUUGAAAUCCAGGAAAACCACGAGUGGAAAUUUUCAAACUAUAAGGAAGAGUGUCCUGAUAUCUGCUCCAAUCCUGCUUACAAUUUGCUAUCUGCCAGAUUCCCAAGGAAAGUGCUAGAUGCAGGCGUACAGAUGUGUGUAGCAGUACAACAUGUAUUCAUAAGGAAUUAUUGGCUCAUGUCAAUAAAACCCAAGUGUGACAAGUAUCAGGCUUCUGAAACAUCAAAAAAACAGGUAAGUACCUUAAGUGCAAUUUAUAAAGAAUUAAACAUUUAAGUUCAAAGUGAGAACUA
rnacentral:lncRNA from 1 species